UCCGGUGGCCAUAGCGAAAGGGAAACACCCGAUCCCAUCCCGAACUCGGUCGUUAAGCCUUUCUGCGCCGAUGGUACUGCACGGUGUCCCGUGUGGGAGAGUAGGUCGCUGCCGGGA
rnacentral:rRNA from 1 species